rnacentral:rRNA from 1 species
GACGAACGCUUGCAGCGUGCUUAACACAUGCAAGUCGAACGGAAAGGCCCUGCUUUUGUGGGGUGCUCGAGUGGCGAACGGGUGAGUAACACGUGAGUAACCUGCCCUUGACUUUGGGAUAACUUCAGGAAACUGGGGCUAAUACCGGAUAGGAGCUCCUGCUGCAUGGUGGGGGUUGGAAAGUUUCGGCGGUUGGGGAUGGACUCGCGGCUUAUCAGCUUGUUGGUGGGGUAGUGGCUUACCAAGGCUUUGACGGGUAGCCGGCCUGAGAGGGUGACCGGCCACAUUGGGACUGAGAUACGGCCCAGACUCCUACGGGAGGCAGCAGUGGGGAAUAUUGCACAAUGGGCGGAAGCCUGAUGCAGCAACGCCGCGUGCGGGAUGACGGCCUUCGGGUUGUAAACCGCUUUCGCCUGUGACGAAGCGUGAGUGACGGUAAUGGGUAAAGAAGCACCGGCUAACUACGUGCCAGCAGCCGCGGUGAUACGUAGGGUGCGAGCGUUGUCCGGAUUUAUUGGGCGUAAAGGGCUCGUAGGUGGUUGAUCGCGUCGGAAGUGUAAUCUUGGGGCUUAACCCUGAGCGUGCUUUCGAUACGGGUUGACUUGAGGAAGGUAGGGGAGAAUGGAAUUCCUGGUGGAGCGGUGGAAUGCGCAGAUAUCAGGAGGAACACCAGUGGCGAAGGCGGUUCUCUGGGCCUUUCCUGACGCUGAGGAGCGAAAGCGUGGGGAGCGAACAGGCUUAGAUACCCUGGUAGUCCACGCUGUAAACGGUGGGUACUAGGUGUGGGGUCCAUUCCACGGGUUCCGUGCCGUAGCUAACGCUUUAAGUACCCCGCCUGGGGAGUACGGCCGCAAGGCUAAAACUCAAAGGAAUUGACGGGGCCCCGCACAAGCGGCGGAGCAUGCGGAUUAAUUCGAUGCAACGCGUAGAACCUUACCUGGGUUUGACAUGGAUCGGGAGUGCUCAGAGAUGGGUGUGCCUCUUUUGGGGUCGGUUCACAGGUGGUGCAUGCCUGUCGUCAGCUCGUGUCGUGAGAUGUUGGGUUAAGUCCCGCAACGAGCGCAACCCUUGUUCACUGUUGCCAGCACGUUAUGGUGGGGACUCAGUGGAGACCGCCGGGGUCAACUCGGAGGAAGGUGGGGAUGACGUCAAGUCCUCAUGCCCCUUAUGUCCAGGGCUUCACGCAUGCUACAAUGGCUGGUACAGAGAGUGGCGAGCCUGUGAGGGUGAGCGAAUCUCGGAAAGCCGGUCUCAGUUCGGAUUGGGGUCUGCAACUCGACCUCAUGAAGUCGGAGUCGCUAGUAAUCGCAGAUCAGCAACGCUGCGGUGAAUACGUUCCCGGGGCU